rnacentral:rRNA from 1 species
UGGGGAAUUUUGGACAAUGGGCGAAAGCCUGAUCCAGCAAUGCCGCGUGUGUGAAGAAGGCCUUCGGGUUGUAAAGCACUUUUGUCCGGAAAGAAAUCCUUGGCUCUAAUACAGUCGGGGGAUGACGGUACCGGAAGAAUAAGCACCGGCUAACUACGUGCCAGCAGCCGCGGUAAUACGUAGGGUGCAAGCGUUAAUCGGAAUUACUGGGCGUAAAGCGUGCGCAGGCGGUUUGCUAAGACCGAUGUGAAAUCCCCGGGCUCAACCUGGGAACUGCAUUGGUGACUGGCAGGCUAGAGUAUGGCAGAGGGGGGUAGAAUUCCACGUGUAGCAGUGAAAUGCGUAGAGAUGUGGAGGAAUACCGAUGGCGAAGGCAGCCCCCUGGCAAGUACUGACGCUCAUGCACGAAAAGCGUGGGGAGCAAACAGGAUUAAUACCCUGGUAGUCCACGCCCUAAAANGAUGUCAACUAGUUGUUGGGGAUUCAUUUCCUUAGUAACGUAGCUAACGCGUGAAGUUGACCGCCUGGGGAGUACGGUCGC